rnacentral:rRNA from 1 species
CUACGGGAUGCACCAGUCGAGAAUCUUUGGCAAUGGGCGAAAGCUUGACCAUGCGACGCCGCGUGAGGGAUGAAGGUCUUCGGAUUGUAAACCUUUGUCACAGGGGAGGAACAGUAGCGGAGUAAAUAACUUCGUUAUUUGACAGUACCCUGAGAGGAAGCCACGGGUAACUCCGUGCCAGCAGCCGCGGUAAUACGGAGGUGGCAAGCGUUGUUCGGAUUUACUGGGUGUAAAGAGCGUGUAGGCGUUCUGACAAGUUAGAGGUGAAAUCCCUCGGCUCAACUGAGGAAUUGCCCCUAAGACUGUCAGAAUUGAGUUUGGUAAAGGAGAGUGGAAUUUCCGGAGUAAGGGUGAAAUCUGUAGAUACCGGGAAGAACACCUGUGGCGAAGGCGACUCUCUGGGCCAAAACUGACGCUGAGACGCGAAAGCUAGGGGAGCGAACAGGAUUAGAUACCCCUGUAGUC